CCUCUUCCCCCUCCUCCCCCCUCUUCCCCCACUCUCCCUUCUCCCACCUUGCCCACCCCUCCCCAGCUCUGCCCUCCUCCCCAGACGCUCCAGCCCGGGACACAGUGGAGCUGUAGCAAGCCCCGCCGGCAGGCGGCCCUUCUGGCCCCUGCUCCUUAAUGGGUGGCCACUGUCCUGAGCAAGACCUUGUCUCCUUGGCUGCCUACCCCCAGCUCCACCCUCCCUGUCUGAGUCCAGGCACCUCCAGGGACAGUUACUACCUGCUAUAGGAGCGGUUGUAUACCUUCAUACUGGGUACCUCUCAAGGUCCUUGACCCACAGGGACUCACAGCUGAGGCCAGGCCUGCAAAGAAUUCAGGAAGGCCUGAAGCAGUCCUGCUUCUCCUCUCCUUUGAAGGAGUGUUUGGCUGCCACGUUCUCCAGGCCCUCAGUGGCAGGAAGAUGCCAUCAUGGGAGUCUUCAUGUUUAGGACUUUAAACACUGGACUGCUUCAGCACCAGCAGAAGACAAGGAUUCCCCCAGGCAGGGCGUGCUGUCUAUCAGCCCAGGACUUAUUGGAGAUUAUCUGGUCCAGCCUGGCUGACGCUGGCCAGGAGCAUCUUUGAUUGCUGUUCAAGGCCUUCAGCUCCUCUCUGGAUCAGAGUCUGUGCACAGUCAGCAGUUCUGUUUCAGGCAGAGGGGCCAGUAGCUGGCCACCUCCACAGGGGCUGUCCAGAGCCCUGGCACCAAGCACCCUAGGCACUUCUUGCCUGGCCAUCCCUUCUGAAGAUUCCAAUGAUGGAAGAACCCAGAAGCGCAGGUGCUGCGUGAUGCUGACCUUGGCCUUGGCCUCCCCAACCCCAGUAGAAUACACAGCUGACGUCCUCUUGGAAGUUUCGUGCACCAAGGACUUCCCACUCAUGACAGCUCCCACUCCUGGGUUCCUGGAGCUCCUUCCCAUUGUCUGUGUCCUCACAGGCACCUGGAUGGCUGCCCAGGAUGAGCUGCAGUGUCGGAGCUACUUUGGGUUGAGUUCUCAGGAUACCCAAGUCCCAUGAGGACUCACGGCUGCUUGGUGAAUGUGAAAGCCUUCAGCGCCCUCAGUGCUUGUCCCACCUGUGCCUGUGAGUGAGGUCUGCUGCAAGGACUUGUACACAACUGGAAUGCAGGCACGGCAGCAACGGGGAACACCCAAUAUGCCAUCCUUUAAAGAGCAUCGCAGGUUCUGAGUGAUGUCCUGAAGGGACAGGAGCCUCAGAAAGCCUGGAGAGGAGAGGGAGUGCCUGGGAACAGUGGGCUUCUCAGCAGUCAGGUCUGUCUGAGUCACAGAGUUUGCCACCCUGUGUUCCUCGUGGCCCCCAGUGUGUACAGGUGAGGACCCUGCCUCAGCUCAGCACCCAAUAGGCCCCCUUGUCCAGAGGCAACCAGAUCGCUUCAGACUGACAACAUACAGCAGGGGGAAGACCCCAUCCCUUGAGAGCCACCAUACCCCACAAGGAUGCGCAGCAGUCAUUACCUGUGUCAGGUAAUGACUGAGUGUUUGCCAGGGCUAGGCACCAAAGUCAGCAUCAAAACUAGAUUAACCCACGGUCUCAACAACCCAUUUUACACAGCAAGAAGGAACUUGGAGCAGCAGCAAGUAUGAUCAGACCCUCCUUUCUGAUCCCCACCUCUCCUGGUCCCUACUGCCGAACCCACCCCAGGCCCAGUUCUGUCACAUCCUUUCUAAGCUCAGAAGCCACAUGUGGGUUGAACUGUGAUGGGUACUGCACUCCAACAGGGCCUGGCUGUGUCCUGUGCAUGGAUCUCACCAGAAGCACACACCUGAGUCCUGUGACUGUGGCUGUGGAUUUUAACUGCCUAUCAAGCACCAUCGAGGUUGAUGGAAUUCAUUCUUCUCUGUACAGAGCUCUGGGGCACAUACUGUUCUUUUCAGAGGGAUUUGGGUAGUGAGUCCAUGGGGACAGAGAAUGGGGUGGGAGGUGGGAGCCAGAUCCAAGUUCAGGGUACGAUUGAGGGGAAGAGAAGUGGAACCCCUGUCUGUGGCCUCUCCUUAAAGGCUCCAUGGUCCAAAAAGGAAGCCACAGUGCAGGGUUAUUGGGGUGGGGCUUCCUGAUCCCCCAGAAUGUGGCCAUACAGAGGGUUCUCCUGCUCUACUCAGGGGACACAUGCUAGAUUUGCCCCUGCCGGCACCCAGAGAGAGCCCACCUGGAGCUCCUGGCAGGAGUGAGGCUGGGUGGAGGUUGGCAAGGUCCCCAGCCCCCUCAGACAUCAGGAAUUCAACCUCAUGCCUGCUCCUAGCCCACAAGAGCAGGAGACUGGGCCCGCAGAGCAACUUUACAGGGUGAGAGCCUCCAGGACAGGCAGUGACAUAACUUCUGCCAGCAGAGAGCAGCAGAGGGCCAUGCAGCACCCCUGGCUUGCUCCCUGCCCCUUGGGGCCUGAUCCUAACUCCAGGACAAGCUGAUGCAAGGGGAGGUCAGGUUUCACCCCUCCCAUUGCCCCACUCCAGGUCCCCUGCUGGCCUAAGGGUCACCUCCCCUUCAGGCUCUGUCCCCAGGGCAGGGCUCUCAGAACCAUAAACCCCAUCCCGCCAACCUGGCCCCUAGGUCCAUGACACACAUGGGUCGCUCUUCUCUUGACACUUUCCUGGUUCAGCUUGAAGUUCACCAUAGGGUCCUCUCAUGUAUCCCUGUUCCCCACAAGAUGGGAUGAGGCUCCAGAAUGUUCCAAGUGGCACUAAUGAUGAAUACAUCCUGUGGGCCAUAAAGCACAUUUCUGCCACUGCUGUACCAUACAUCCUGAAGGAAGAAAACACCUUCUAGGCAAAGGAGAAAACUGCUGAGCAGGUGGGUGGUGUGGUCACCGAUGGCAUUUGUGGACCCCCAGGGUGUGGGCCCUCUAAGUGAGAUCCCCUCCAUAGGUGGGGAAUAAAUUUAUAGAGUGAGAACCUCCAGAACAGGGUUUAAGCAUCCUUAGGAACUGACAUCUGGUUGAAGCCUCAGCAGUAGUGGUGACACGCUAGGCCCACAGGAGGCUUCCUCAAGUCCAGCAUCACGAGGGUUGGAGAGCUGAUGGCCCAUCCCUUUGCAUCCCUGCUUUCCAGAGCUCUUUCCCACCAGCCCAGGCUCAGCUUUGCCAGCUUCCUCAACCCUCAAAUAGUGUUCUGGAUUUGCCCUCAGUUCCCCCAGUCCUCCUCCCACUGUUGGCCAUGGCCUCAGUAUUAGGGCCUUGCCUUCACUAUCACCUUCUUUAUCUGGUUAAGGCAUCCAGUGUCUUGGCUAAAAUUGGAACUUACCCUAUAAAUAGUGAGGCGCAUGGUUUUCUUUUAGCUUAGCUACUCCCAAGGCCCCUGACCCCUACCCUGUGGCCGGUUCCUACUGUCAGCCUCCCCCACCUGACCUGUCUUAAACUAGCCCUUCCACAAAACCACUGACCCUAAGGACACCCCCAAUUCUCCUUCACUCACCUCUACUUUCUUCUCACUUGGUUACCAGAGUCAGUUAGGAGCAUCCUGAAAAACAUCCAAUACCUCUUGUUAUACUUGGAGUCAUCCCCAGGUGCCCACUCUUCUUAGCCCCUUCCCCAAUCACAAGUUGCACUCCACCUGUGGGCUAUAUCCUGGUUGGGCCUGGCUCUCCCUUAUUGGGAGGCCUGGUCCUGGCUGGCUCAACUCAUCAGCACAGACUUGUCCCUGCCACAUUGGCCCAGAACAGGCAGAGCCUGGGUCAACCAGGUGGCUGUGAGCCACAUGGCAGAGGAGAGCCCAGCCAGGGUGGCUUGGCUGCUAGAGAGCUGAGGUUUGAGGCAUGGACUGAGCACUGCCUGUAAGGCAAGGUGGUCCACAGGGAAACACAGCCAAGGGAACCUCAGGAGCAGAACUGAGUCCUGAUCAAGCAGCAGCUGAAAGACCUCCUGCCACACAUCCCCUUUGUGUGAAUUCAGGAUGCCUCUUGACUGCCCCACCCAGUUUGUAGAUGAUUUUCUGGAGCUAAGUCACCCAGGAAGAAGAGUUCCGGGGAUACCAAAGCCUCAACUGAAGGUCUGGGAUUCCGUCAGAGGUUCCCCUGUGUCCUGCCCCCCUUAUCCACACUUAUUGGUCAGUGGCAGCCCAGACAGCAGCAGGCAGGGAAGCACAGGGCUGGGACAAGUUGCAACACUGGUCCCCUCUCUCAUCUGGGGCCUGAGGGUUGUUAUGACAACUCAGGGUCAUGUCAGGAGGGUUCCAUCUGUUUUAAUAGGAAAUUUGGUGAUUUCUUUCUCCUUUCCCUUGCCAAUUAGAAGUGUAGAGGCCUGGGAGAGGGUAUAGCCAGCAGGACAGAAGGCGAAUAUCCCCUCUCCUGAGAAGGGAAACUUCCUUGCCAUGUGAGCUCUGGCUUAACGACUACAGUGAUUUUUGAAACAAGAAAGGCAAGAAGCUUCUGGAAGGUAGAAGAGGGCUAGGGGUGGGGGGAAGGGAUUGCUGAUUUCACUUCCUGGGUCCUGAGGCAUCUAUUUGGCCCCCUACCCUAGCCUACGGUGGUGCACAGGGGCUCCUAAUCUGUCGCAGGGGCACUCCAUGUCACCAAGUCCCAGAAUCCUAGAGUGGACAAUGUACCCUGGAUCCAAAAGCCUUCAUUAAAGGCACCCAGUUAUCUGCAGCCAGCUUACCUUGGGGAUAAAUUGGUUCCCUGCAACUCCUAGAGAUACCUCUGCCUCUGGAGGAAGCAGCAAGGAGCAGGCUGGGCACACAGGCCAUGGAACAUGCAGGUUGACCACAGCAAGCCCCAGAGAUGCCUGGCAGGCCCCUAGAGCCCAGAGCUGGCCAAUGGGGAUACUCAUUGGAGGGCAUAUACAGGGUCUUCAGUGCCCCCCCCCCCCACUGCCCCAUCCAGUUUCAUGUUCUUAUCCUCAGGGACUUGCAGCCCUUUGUCCAGGCUCCUGAUCCUAUGCCAAGAGCCCCCUGUUGACAUGCAGAGCACCAGGUAGGGGGCAUCAGGUUUGAUGUGACUUGCAUGUUGUGCUGGGGUUGUGGCUUUGGCUGGAUCUCCCAUGCUCUGAGAAGCAGGUAAAAUCUACGAGCUCCCUUUAGGAACCUGCACAAAUCCCAAAGGUUGCAUCCCUCCUUGGAGCGUGGGAACUGACAACACCCAAGGUAGUGUAUGGGUGCUGAGUAAAUGACAGCCUAGCUUGCAAAUGAACCCACAACCUCCCUGAGAGGCCUGAGGGCCUUGGGUCUUAUAUAUGCCAAGCAGGUCUUGAUUCCAAGGCCUUCCCAGGGGAACAAGUUCCAGGGAUGUGUGUCUUAGGCCCAUUCACCUGGAGACAGAUCUGAAUCUUUUCACCCACUCUCCAUAAAGCACAGUGUUUUCAAGGACAGGAGCAUUUUGUAAUGAAAGUUUUUGAAAAAGCAACUUUCCACUUACAAAAAUCAAAUAGGCCACAACCAAAUAAGGCAGCAUGUAUCCCGUCCCAUAUGGGACAGUCUUCUACCUGGUCCUUCUCUCUGAUGGGUAAAGGAACUCUGCCUUUCUCUCUAGCUGGCCUGCAUCCCACUCUGCCACAGUGCUGGCUCAAGCCCCCCUUGGUUUGAUUAAGUUUUUCUUUGUCAGACUAAUUAAUUAAAGCUGAUUUGGACAGAUUCCAUUUUACCCACCCUGUCCUGCCCCUGGGGAUCUUGGACCUCCUUGUCUCCGCUAUGCCCAGGGAAGUCCCCACUGUGUACUUCUCUGUGGCACUCACUAAUUUGGCACCAAAGGGACAUUGAUGUCUCCAGUUGGCACAGUCUCGUGCUUCUUCCCAUCAAGGUACAGGGCAAGAGCCAUGUGUCCCAGCCAUUGAGGAUGUCCAAGGCAAAGAGCCUCCCAGGGAGGGUGGAGAGUACCCAUGCCAGCAGCACAGCAUCAGCUUAGGGAGAUGAGGUAUGUGGGGCCCCAAGAUCAUUCCAAGGGGAAGCUGGUCACAUAUUCCAGAUUGUGGUAUGAAGCAGGCCAUGGAGUGGGAUCAAUGUGGCCCAGAUCAUAUCUGAGGUUGGCAGGAUCCCAGUCUCAUGGAUGGUCCCUUGAAGCCUCUGCAGUUUAAUUGGCCUAGACUAGCUGUUUGACCUCAAACAGCUUUACUGCUUGUUUUUCUGACCUCUACCAUGGAGUUGAUGUGAGAUGAAAUGAGAGGAUGAGACAUGUCCAGAAAGACAAAGGCCAUGGCGGUGGGAGAAGGGUCAAAGAAACUGGCAGAGCACAUGGCAGCCACAGCCCUUUUUCUGAGUAUGAAGAGGAGUUGGGCCGUGUCUAAGCUGGAGCUGCACAGCAGAGGGCAGUGGCUGCAGGACUGUGUCAUUUGUUGACGCUGACAACGUGAUCUGGGAUGGUGAGAAGGGUGAUCUGGGGACUAUCACUCCAACUUCCUGGGCCAGAGGGCCCCAUUUUUUUAAAAGGUGGGGCCAAGGGCCCUUCCAUACAUGGAACCUAUGGGGAGAAAGAACUCUGAGGCCCUACUAACCCACAUUGCCAUCCUCCUCCCACUGGGCAUGGUUUUAUACCAGCCAGCCCAUGUCCUCUCCAUCUGCCAAAUUCUCCCUUUUCCCUUAGUCCUGUCUGGUCCCCUAAAGUUCUCCUUCCCCCUGCCUCAGUGCUCAGACCCCUCAGUAGAAUGUGUAGGAGACCAAACUGACAGCUGCAGAGAGCAUGACAACCUGACUGGGGCAGAGGUGGGAGUGAGGGGAUAUUGUCUUCAAAGUUGUGGGGACAAAUAGCUUCAAAUCUGAAAUUGCCUGAAACAAGUGCCCAGAGGGACAGGUGCAAGAUGUUGGGGAAAGGAUGAAGACUCAUCUGGGUCACAUGGUUCUAGAGCACCAGGCUCCCCAAAAUGCUUACAGCUUCCCGAGGCAUGCCACACCCAAAUCUCAGGUGGUGGGGUCUUGGCAUUUCCUGCAAGCCCUUCUCAGUCUGGUGAUUUGCCUCCUCACUGAAAUCAGAGACCCCAAGGGUGGAUGGCUUCCAACAUUAUUCCCUCAUCUCAAACCAGAGAACACACUGUGCUCAUUGUAUCCACUGAUGUUGAAUUGCCAGUGCCUUUCCCCGAAUCUCAUGAAAUAUUGCCCCCAUCUAGACAUUUACAAGUAAAGGGAUGGGAUGUUCUGGCCAGAGAGGUCAGGGACUAUUUCAUGGUAGGUCCUAGAGAAGUCAUCACAUAGCUAUAACAUUCCCCUUUCAAUCUGGUUUAAAUAAUUUAUACAUGAAAUAAAA